rnacentral:ribozyme from 14 species
GAAAUUAAAAAUAAUAAAAAAACUAAAGAGAGGUCAAAAGUUUGUAUGUAUGUUUUUUGUUUUUGUU